AUAAUUAAAAACGUUUUCAUUGUUUAGCAUACGAAAAUUUCUUAUAAUUAAAAAUUUUUAACAUUUUAACGAGAGUAGUGUUUAUACAAAAAAAAUAUAGUAUUUCGAUUUUUUAUAGCAAAAUAAUAAGUAUAGUAUGUAAAAUACACAAAUACAACCGCUUUUCACAGAUUGCAACACGAUACCAUUGUAAUAUAUAUUAUACCAUUAUCUACUAUCUAUAUAUACUGUCUAUAUUACAAAAUUGUUUUACAUAUGUAUUAUAUGUUAUAAUAAGUAUUAUAAUUUAGAUAUUUUAUAUAUUUUGCAU